CGAGUGAGUUGAGUGAUCGCUUGUUUUAAACAAGAGGAAAGUCCGGACUCCUAAGGGAAAUGGUGCUGGGUAACGCCCAGGUGUCGCGAGGCAACGGAAAGUGCCACAGAAAAUAACCGCCAUUAAUACUCAUAUGAUAUUAAUGGUAAGGGUGAAAAGGUAGUGUAAGAGACUACCGCAAGAUUUGGCGACAAAUCUUGGCAAGGCAAACCCCACUUGGAGAAAGAUCAAGUAUAGAAGCUGGUAUCCCUUCCACAUGCUUCGGGGUAGAUCGCUUGAGAUAAUAAGUAAUUAUUAUCCUAGAUAGAUGGUCACAUAAAACAGAAUUCGGCUUACUAACUCACUCGUUUA
rnacentral:RNase_P_RNA from 1 species